GCCCCCAUAGCUUAAUGGAUAAAGUAGCGGACUUCUAAGCCGUUGAUGUUGGUUCGAUUCCAGCUGGGGGCACAA
rnacentral:tRNA from 5 species